GGAAUAUUGCACAAUGGGCGAAAGCCUGAUGCAGCGACGCCGCGUGAGGGAUGACGGCCUUCGGGUUGUAAACCUCUUUCAGCUCCGAAGAAGCGAAAGUGACGGUAGGAGCAGAAGAAGCACCGGCUAACUACGUGCCAGCAGCCGCGGUAAUACGUAGGGUGCAAGCGUUGUCCGGAAUUAUUGGGCGUAAAGAGCUCGUAGCCGGUGUGUCGCGUCUGCUGUGAAAACUCAGGGCUCAACUCUUAGCUUGCAGUGGGUACGGGCACACUAGAGUGCUGUAGGGGAGACUGGAAUUCCUGGUGUAGCGGUGAAAUGCGCAGAUAUCAGGAGGAACACCGGUGGCGAAGGCGGGUCUCUGGGCAGUUACUGACGCUGAGGAGCGAAAGCAUGGGGAGCGAACA
rnacentral:rRNA from 1 species